UACUUAAGUUUGGGUUGUUUUGGACUUUAAAAACAAACUUAUGGGCUACUUUGGGUCAACUAUAAUUAUCAUGCGGGUUAGGAUGGGCUGAUUCAAAAGUAAAUAAAAAAGCAGGCGGGUUAGAAUGGGUAGGGAAGAAAAGUCCAAUAGGUCAGGAUGGGUAAUUGAGAAAAAAGAAUGGUUCUUAACUCCGCGACAGAAAAAUCAACGCCAGAACUCACUAAAGAUCAUCCGGUUACCAGAUCUCGUUAGCUUCACCGUCGUCUCCUGCUGGUGUUUCUCCGUCCAGAUCUGUUAACGCCGCUGGUUCCACUCCGCAACCAGACGCCGCCGUUGUUGACGGCGAAUCGCCGUGUUUUUCGCCUAGAUUUUACGGCUAUUACUUUGUUUAUAAUCUUUGAUGGAUGGAGGAAGUGCAGUUAGACUUGAUUUUUUUGCUUUUAUUGCCUAAUAAUGUGUUUUCUUUAAUAUUUGGUUGGAUGUUUAUUUAGUUGGGCAUUUAUGUGCACACUGAUUGUUGAUUUUUAGGACCUUUAUGUUGGAUGAAUAUCCGACUUAUAUUCAUACCUUUAUGAUUUAUGCUUG